CAGAUGAUUGUCGCGAAAACUCAAGGUCCUGAAACACCUGAGCAGGUGACAUUUGAACUCUCCAUGUGUAGUGCUGUAUUUUAACUGAAAUAUCGGGCUUACAACGAACCGAAGAUCGUGACUUCUCCCAAACUCCAAGGAAUAGAAGCGCCGGUUUCUGCUUAUUAUUCGCUGUUUCUGAUGGCCAAGAGCAAGGGGCAGUCAAGGCCAUUAAUGCAGAACUGGAAUUCAGCGAGGAGCGCCUCUUC
rnacentral:lncRNA from 12 species